rnacentral:rRNA from 1 species
AUUGAACGCUGGCGGCAGGCCUAACACAUGCAAGUCGAGCGGAUGAAGGGAGCUUGCUCCUGGAUUCAGCGGCGGACGGGUGAGUAAUGCCUAGGAAUCUGCCUGGUAGUGGGGGAUAACGUCCGGAAACGGGCGCUAAUACCGCAUACGUCCUGAGGGAGAAAGUGGGGGAUCUUCGGACCUCACGCUAUCAGAUGAGCCUAGGUCGGAUUAGAUAGUUGGUGGGGUAAAGGCCUACCAAGGCGACGAUCCGUAACUGGUCUGAGAGGAUGAUCAGUCACACGGGAACUGGGACACGGUCCAGACUCCUACGGGAGGCAGCAGUGGGGAAUAUGAGACAAUGGGCGAAAGCCUGAUCCAGCCAUGCCGCGUGUGUUAAGAAGGUCUUCGGAUUGUAAAGCACUUUAAGUUGGGAGGAAGGGCAGUAAGUUAAUACCUUGCUGUUUUGACGUUACCAACAGAAUAAGCACCGGCUAACUUCGUG